rnacentral:rRNA from 1 species
CGGAGGAAAAGAAACUAACGAGGAUUCCCCUAGUAGCGGCGAGCGAAGCGGGAGAAGCCCAAUAUGAAAAGCCUGCUUGCAGGCGUUGUAUUUUGAGCGUUCUUUGGGGCGUCAGUGUGGGUAAGUCGUAUGGAAAUACGUGCCGUGGAGGGUGACAGCCCCGUCCAGCCCGCACACGACGCGCCGUAACGAGAACGUUUCAGACGAGUCGGGUAGCUUGGGAAUGCUGCUCUAAUUGGUGGUAAAUCUCAUCAAAGGCUAAAUAAAGACCGGAGACCGAUAGCGAACAAGUACCGUGAGGGAAAGAUGACAAGCACUUUGAAAAGAGGGUGAAAAGAACCUGAAACCGUCACGGGGGAAGCGGAUUGCGUUGGAUUGGUUGGGUCCUCUGCGUGGUCAGCCUUUUUAUUGCAAAAAGGUGCAUUGGCGCGAGGACUUACCCGCCGUGAGCUUUUGGCGGCCGAUAUUGGGCUGCCGGGGGCUGAGGGCUCCCCUUUAUGGGUUGAGGACGGCGGGGCGACGACGCGAUACGACCCGUCUUGAAACACGGACCAAGGAGUCUAGCGCGGGUGCGAGUCAAAGGGUUGUACAAGCCCGUGGGCGUAGUGAAAGCGAUGUUUUUUAAAUUGAAACUAAAAACGGAGCAGUUUGAGGCGGCAUAAAAUCGUCGAUUUUAAGACCGACCUAGAGCAGUUGCGCUGGGACCCGAAAGAUGGUGAACUAUGCCGGAGUAGGGCGAAGCCAGAGGAAACUCUGGUGGAGGCUCGUAGCGGUGCUGACGUGCAAAUCGCUCGUCAAACUCGGGUAUAGGGGCGAAAGACUAAUCGAACCAUCUAGUAGCUGGUUCCCUCCGAAGUUUCUCUCAGGAUAGCGGGCCGACCGGUGUUGUUUUGUGCGGUAAAGCGAAUGAUUAGCGCAUGCGGGGGCAUCUAGCCUUUGGGCGAUUCUCAAACUUUAAAUGCGCAAGGGUGCCGCUGCUUAGUUGAGCGGUACCGGCAAAAACGUCGGCCCUGUGGGCCACUUUUGGUAAGCAGAACUGGCGAUACGGGAUGAACCGUAAGUGUGGUUAAGGCGCCAAACUGCCCGCUUAUAGACCCCAAAAAAGGUGUUGAUUCAUCGAGACAGCAGGACGGUGGCCAUGGAAGUCGGAAUCCGCCAAGGAGUGUGUAACAACUCACCUGCCGAAUGAAUUAGCCCUGAAAAUGGAUGGCGCUCAAGCGGGCGGCCGACACCACGCCGUCUGAGCAAUUUUUAUCAUUUUUUAUCUCAGAUGAGUAGGAGGGCGUGGCGGUUGUGUCGAAGCUUGCGUGCAGACGCCAGUGGAACGGCCGCUAGUGCAGAUCUUGGUGGUAGUAGCAAGUAUUCAAGCGAGAUCCUUGAAGGGCGAAGCGGGGAAGGGUUCCACGCGAACACUGAUUGGGCGUGGGUGAGUCGUUCCUAAGCCGAGUGGCAAUUCCUAAUUACCGGCGAAAGGGAAGCGGGUUGACAUUCCCGCACACGGAUGUGGAGGCGGUGACGCUUAUUGCGGCGAAUACGCCGGCGACGGCGCUGGGCAGAGUUCUCUUUUCUGUUUGACCUAGCAAAAUUUACCGCGCCGUGUGGAAUCCGAUUGUCGGGAGAAACACGCGCGUCGGGGCACAGCGCCGGGCCUUUUCCGGCGUCCAGCUCGCCGUCGACGGCCCUUGAAAAUUUGCCUGCUGGGACGUUUUUAAAACAAACGAAAUUUAUUAUCCACGCCGUGGCGUACCGAUCACCGCAUCAGGUCCCCAAGGUGAACAGCCUCUGCUCCAUAUGAACAAUGCAGGUAAGGGAAGUCGGCAAAUUAGACCCGUAACUUUGGAAUAAGGGUUGGCUCUAGUGCUGCGUGGGAGUGGUUGCUGAGUGUCUCGGAUUUGUGGAGCCACGCUGCCUUGGGCGCGGGGCCCUCCUCCUGUGAACGCCCCGCAAGGGACGCCGCGGGCGGUAGGGACCUGUUCCUGCUGCCAAGCCCCCAAUUCCGCAUUCGGCGACGCCCACAGCAUGCAGCAGACUAGAACUGCAACGGGCAAAGGGAAUCCGACUGUUUAAUUAAAACAAAGCAUUGCGAGGGCCGUGGCCGGUGAUCACGCAAUGUGAUUUCUGCUCAGUGCUCUGAAUGUCAAAGUGAAGAGAUUCAAUCAAGCGCGGGUAAACAGCGGGAGUAACUAUGACUCUCUUAAGGUAGCCAAAUGCCUCGUCAUCUAAUUAGUGACGCGCAUGAAUGGAUUAACGAGAUUCCUACUGUCCCUAUCUGCUUCUAGCGAAACCACAGCCGGGGGAACGGGCUCGGCAGAAUCGGCGGGGAAAGAAGACCCUGUUGAGCUUGACUCUAUUCUAAUUUUGUCAAGCAAGUUGGGAGGUGUAGCAUAGGUGGGAGCGCCUUUAACCGCGCGUCCGUGAAAUACCACUACUCCCAGUCUUGCUUUACUUACUGGGUUUCUGUGGAUCAGCCUUACCGCUCUAUUCUGGAACCAACACUAAAAAACUUUUUCAGUGGACCACAGCCCAGUACACAUUUAGGAGGGGAGUUUGGCUGGGGCGGCACAUCUUCUACAAGACAACGAAGGUGUCCAAAGAUAAGCUCAGUGAGAACAGAAAUCUCACGUCGCGCAAAAGGGUAAAAGCUUGUUUGAUUUCGAUUUUCAGUGCCAGUCGAAAACGCGAAAGCGUGGCCUAUCGAUCCUUUCACCAUUCUAGAUUUGAAGCGAGAGGUGUCAGAAAAGUUACCACAGGGAUAACUGGCUUGUGGCGGCCAAGCGUUCAUAGCGACGUCGCUUUUUGAUCCU